rnacentral:rRNA from 1 species
AACGAACGCUGGCGGCAGGCCUAACACAUGCAAGUCGAGCGCCCCGCAAGGGGAGCGGCGGACGGGUGAGUAACGCGUGGGAACGUACCCUUUGCUACGGGAUAGCCUCGGGAAACUGGGAGUAAUACCGUAUGUGUCCUUCGGGAGAAAGAUUUAUCGGCAAGGGAUCGGCCCGCGUUGGAUUAGGUAGUUGGUGGGGUAAUGGCCUACCAAGCCGACGAUCCAUAGCUGGUUUGAGAGGAUGAUCAGCCACACUGGGACUGAGACACGGCCCAGACUCCUACGGGAGGCAGCAGUGGGGAAUCUUAGACAAUGGGCGCAAGCCUGAUCUAGCCAUGCCGCGUGAGCGAUGAAGGCCUUAGGGUUGUAAAGCUCUUUCAGGGGGGAAGAUAAUGACUGUACCCCCAGAAGAAGCCCCGGCUAACUCCGUG